UAAUACGGAGGGUGCGAGCGUUGUUCGGAAUUAUUGGGCGUAAAGAGCGUGUAGGCGGGUUGGUAAGUCAGAUGUGAAAGCCCCGGGCUCAACCCGGGAAGUGCAUUUGAAACUGCCUUUCUUGAGUAUGGGAGAGGAGAGUGGAAUUCCCAGUGUAGAGGUGAAAUUCGUAGAUAUUGGGAGGAACACCCGUGGCGAAGGCGACUCUCUGGACCAAUACUGACGCUGAGACGCGAAAGCGUGGGGAGCAAACAGGAUUAGAUACCCUGGUAGUCCACGCCGUAAACGAUGAGAACUAGGUGUAGCGGGUAUUGACCCCUGCUGUGCCGGAGCUAACGCAUUAAGUUCUCCGCCUGGGGAGUACGGCCGCAAGGCUA
rnacentral:rRNA from 1 species